AGCUCCAAUAGCGUAUAUUAAAGUUGUUGCAGUUAAAAAGCUCGUAGUUGGAUUUCUGGAUGGAGCGACCGGUCGGGCAUUAAUUUGUCUGCACUGGAGUCGGUUCCGUCCAUCCUCUUGGAAAGUGCGUGGGGCAUUAAGUUGUCUGGCGUAUGAUCCAAGUCGUUUACUGUGAAAAAAUUAGAGUGUUUAAAGCAGGCCUUCGCCUUGAAUACAUUAGCAUGGAAUAAUAAGAUAGGACUUUGGUCUAUUUUGUUGGUUUGCAGACCGAAGUAAUGAUUAAUAGGGAUAGUUGGGGGUAUUUAUAUUCCGAUGUCAGAGGUGAAAUUCUUAGAUUUUCGGAAGAUAAACUUAUGCGAAAGCAUUUACCAAGGAUGUUUUCAUUAAUCAAGAACGAAAG
rnacentral:rRNA from 1 species